UUUGAAAAUAGGAUCGUCUGUAUUUUUUUGCGGUCAUGUUUUGAAAUUCUUCUUAACUGUCCGUUUCUUACAUCGACUGACAUACAAUGCAUAGGUCGUUCGGUCGUACGUUGACGGUUCAUCUCAUCUUCCGGUACUGCUGCAAGUGAAAGCGAUAAUAUGUAUUUAUGGCAAAAAAAACAUAAAAAAAAACACAAUCGACAAGAAGGCACGAUAGUCUUGUCCACAAUUAAAGGAACAGUAGCAUACCCUGUUCAAUAGUCAUAAAUCAAUUAAGUGAAAACAAAUCCGGGUCACAUUCCAAAACCGAGGGAAACACAUCUUAGAAAAUACUGUAUAAUUGAUACUAUAUAAAUAUACUUUGAAACGGGCCUUUUAAUUGGAUUCAAUAAAUAUUCUUAGUAUUAUUCAUCAACUAUACGAGGAAAACAACGGAACAACAGACACACUGAACUGCAACAAAAAUAAACACCAACAUACAUAGAAACAACUAUCAAGUAAGUUUUUAAAAAGAACUGCCAUAUUCGUGACUAAUACUAGAAAUUUUUAAGACAC
rnacentral:lncRNA from 1 species